AAACUCUCACUCUCACUCUCUCACCCUCCCACUCUCACCCGACACUGUCUCUCACUCUCACUUACAGACACACUCUCUCUCUCUCUCCACCCUCGUUGUUUCUCUGCUCUUAUGCGCCGCCGAGUCGCCGGCCUCGACUGCCGUUCCCUCUCGUCGGCGAUGUUUGUUGUUGGUUGGUGUGGUUGAGUAUGCUGAUACUCCUGUCUCUCGUUUCUCCUCCUCUCGACCUUGCGCAAUACCACCGCCGACGGUGGCCUUAAAUGGUCGUCGUCGAUAUUCCAUCACUCAAUUGGGUAAUCUCUUUAAUCAUAUUGUUAAUUGAUUUGAGUUUUAUUGAAUUGAGAAAAUUCCAAACCCUAAUUUACUCUUUGAUUUUCACUCUCACCUCUGACGGGAGAUCGUUUCCCCGUCCCAGUGGGCUCGCCACCAUUGUUGGUGGCAUCGGGUAGUAGUCCUCGAAGUUGGUGUAGCUAUUGUUGGUACCCUGAUCGUCCUCCCUACUUUCCUUGCCUCUUCUCUCCUCCUUGCCACAGUUUUUGAUGUUGUUGGUGUUGAUUCGAUUCGAUUGUUGCUGUUGAUUGUUGCUCCAAUUGUUGUUUCUUCUCUGCUUCAAUCUCUCUGAAGGGUCGUUGAAUUAUGGAUUUCCGCGGAGGUUGAUGAUCGAAAUGUAUAGUUAUUGGAGUUUAUAUCAAAGGUACUUCUUGUUUGUUGGUAUAAUAUCCAUAGUGUGUGUGGUGGUCGGUGGACAUAUGAUGUUACUCUCACCCUAUCAUUUAUUCUAUAAGGUUUCCUUUGGCACGUGAAAGAAUUCAUUUCCAGUCCUUUUACAAUGAAAUCCUCUGUUGAGGCAAACAUAUCAAGUUAAAUAGCAGGCUAAUUCGAUCUUGUCCAUUUACAAAUAAAACAUCAUACGUCUACUUAACAUUUUUAUCAGAGAUGGAAAUGUUGUUAGGCUAUCCCUGCCAUGCUUUUAGCAUUAGUUUUCAACUUUGAUCACAGAAAGAGCAGAGAUGUAUUCAACCCAUUAGAAUUUGCAUCCUCUCGAGGGCACAAGUAUAUAUGGUACGCCACUUGUAGAUAUGUUGUCGGCCUUGUAACGUCUUUGGCUGUUGGAAUUUUGACACAUUUUCCAUAGCCAACCCUUUUAUACCGAGUGGAGGAGAUGCAAGUAGGACUGUGCACCGGUCAAGAACUGGCCCGGUCGGGACUGGAACCGGAAAAGUCCAGAUCUGGAAUGUCGUAUUUUCUACGUCCAGAGACCGGACCGGACUAAUUCCUGUCAUGUCCGAUCCGGACCUGAUUAUUCGGGUUUGAUCCGAACUUAGAUCGGUGGAUCCCAAAAUUUGCAACUUCUUAUUUCCGGAUUUAUUUUUUAAAUAAAAAAAGCACUUUAAAAUUAGACUACAACAAACUCUAAACACAUAAAAUUAAGAUGAGGACAUGAGGUAAUCAAUAAUCUCAUCUUAUCCAAAACAAUAUAUGUAAAUCAGACAUUAUUAGGCUCUGUUCUCUUUACCUUAUUUUCACUUAUUCACUAGAGGAAAAAUUGCCAUCUGCUUUCUUUCAAGUGCGGCUCAUUUAAUAAAUUGGCAGCACUUUAGAGCACCAAAAAAAAAAAAACACAUUUCACAAGUGCGGGCUCAUUUUAGAAAAUUGCCAGCACUUGAGUUUAUGUGCGGGCUAUUUUUAAAAUGAGCCGCACAAAAUGUCACGGGUUCUUUUAUUCAUUUUUCAUUUCCCCGCUCCUCUGCUUCUUCUCCGGUUCUUCUCUGCCUCAUCGCCGCUGCUCUUCCUCUCCUCUUCCUUCCGCGUCGCUCCUCCUCCCCCUCCGCCGCUGAGCUCUACCUUCUUCCAGAUCGAACUAAUUCAGUGUAGUAAGAUUGACCUCAAGAAGAGCUCCUAGUUUCUGAAAAAGAAGAAAAAGUUGUUUAGCAUGUUUUUAAGUCGAUCAAUUAGUAGGAGGGAUGACAAAUAGAAUAUUUGGUUUCGUUUAAUCUCACACGAAACGCAAAAGUUUCGAUCUUCCCUCAAAUGUUUGGCCCCUUUAUCCUCCCAAUUUACCAGGUAUUUUAAUUAAUCCCCCACUUAAUCCUUUUUUUCUCUCUCUCCUUUUUCGAUCAAUUAUUUUUCGGAAUGAGCUGAAUUACUAUUUUAUACGUAUAGGUUGUUGAUUGUCGCAAAAUUCAUAAAUAAAAUAUUUUGUUUAUUACAAAAAUUUGAGCAUAUUAUCAUUGUUGAAAUAACUUGAAUUUAAGUAAUGAAUUUUAUGGUUUUGAUUCAGGCUGCGAUUAAUUUAUGUUGUUGUUGAUUGGGCAACUUCUAACAAAUUUUUAUGAUGUUAAUUGGCUAUGAAGAUAGUGGGUAAAAAAUUUAGUAUCAUGUGUGUUAGAUUGAUUAAUCUUGGAUAUUAACAUAGAUUUUCUUGAAGGGGUGGUAAACUAGUAGUGGAGAGCUCUUAUGGUCUUUGAUAAAUGUAUGUGACACCAAUUUUGGAUUUUUGUUGUACAUAGAGAUAUAGUUUGAGUAAUUGAAUUUCUGUUUGUUCAAUGAUAGGGAUGGGGGUGGUUAUUAACUUUGAUUUUGCUUUUUCUUUGUCGUAGAGUAGUAAGAUCGACUCAAGAAGAGCUCCUAGUUUCUGAAAAAGAAGAAAAAGUUGUUUAGCAUGUUUUUAAGUCGAUCAGUUGUAGGAGGGAUGACAAAUAGAAUCUUUGGUUUUCGUGUUAGUCUGUCUUAAGUGAUAGGAGUAGCUAUCAGCAGAAAGUUCUUUCCUGGAUUAAAGCAACAAAUGGAGGUAGUCUGUUGUUGUGGUUGUGGCUUGAUAGUAAAUUGAACUUAAUGGUUGGUUGUAUGAGGAUUUGUUUGGAGUCAAUAAGGUUGAACAAUCUGAUGGCUGCUGGUGUAGAAUAUUGUACAUGUAACAGUCAGGGUACUGGUGUACUAGGUUUAUCUGGAACUUUGUUUUGCUAAGGAAUUUGGUAUGGGAACUUGUUGCACAGAAUGACAUUCCUAGUCUAAGACUUUCAGAACUCUAAAUUUGCUUGAUAUUGUGCGUUUCUUAUGUCAAAUGCCAACAGAAAACUCCUCAGUUUUGUUAUUUUAUUUUUUCGGUUCGAAUUUCUGAACUCUAAAGCUGCUUGAUAUUUUUUCGAUUCGAAUUUCUGAACAGAAAAGUUGCUUGAUAAGUUUAUGUUGAAUAUGCUUUGUGAAUUAUAAAAUUUAAAGUUGCAUAGUAUUUUGGGUCGUGUAAAUUCCUGUUUAUUUUCUUUUCAAUGAAGUGGCUAUACGCAAACUUGAGAUUUAAGUCAUUUAACUUGAUUACAUUUUGAAAAAUUGAAAAUUUAGCCGUGAUUUGGAGGGCCUUCUGAAAUACUGAGAUUUUUAAAUACCUAGAUGUGAAACUUCAUAUUAAAUAUUACUGCAACUCUUCUUGAUCGGCAGUUCUUAUCAUAAGGAAAUUGGAAUUUUCUUUAUACAUAAAUCAUUUUGUUUGUAGAAUAAGCUUCUCAGACUAUAGACAGGUAAUAAGUCUUGCAACUCUCUUUCUAAAGACAUCAGACUUCUUCCUUUUGCUCAAAUAUAACCAAGCAGCCAGCCUGGAAAAUAAGGCAUCCUUCUCAAAAGCAUGAGAAUGGAGACAUCAUUAUUUCAAUUUCAAAGAACAACUAUUGAUAAAUAAACUUCUGAGACUUUUGACCUAUAUACAUCCCCAUUUAGCUGGCUUAUGUUGUCAUUAUUAGAAGCUUAAACAGAUUGGCUGGUUAUGCUGCCCAUGCUAAAUGUCUGAUUUCAGAGUACUUUUACCCUUCAUUUUUUACCUCUGAGAGAGUCAAUUUUCUCUGAUAUCAUAAAGGAAGAUUUUGAAGUUCUGUUGGCCAAAGGCCCGAAACUAAAGUAUGAUCUUAAUCUCGGUUUUCUACAGCAACUCCUCUCCACUGACAUUCUUUCGGGAUUUCACUACCUCCUUUGACCUUUUAUAUUUUGGUCGAUACCAGAUUAUUUAUUGGUCUUUCUGUAUCUAGGAAGAUUUAUACCUGAUAGAAAAGUUUACUUGUUUUAUCAAUGGUAUUUCAACAUUCUUAGAGGUGUUAUGAUACAACAAAGCUGAUAUCCUUGUGAUUAAUUAAUCUCAAGAAAGCUGUUUAUCUCACCCUCUUUAGAUUUCUAUUUGAGAUUAGCUAUGUAAAUCUCCCAACAGUAAAGCAAUGUACUGCUACGCUUCACAUGUUCUGUGUUUCUUGUGUUGUAUUCUGAUCUCUUUGGGUACUGUGUUUCUGUACUGCUGCGGUGCAUUUUGAUCUGAUCAUAUUUUUUUUCUGAUAUGUACUGAUGCUUACUGAUCUGCAUUGAUGUUUUACUGAUCUGCACGGCUGCUGCAUAACUGCUCUGCAUGUUGAUUUGCACGGGUGCUGCAUCAUUAAGGUGCUUAAAUAUUAAGGUUAUGCUUUCGGGAAUACUAAGUAUUGUGGAGACCGAUGUUGCAUUGCUAAAGGCUGUAUUUCCUCUUUCUAUUGAAUGUAAAGGAAAUUGGCAAUAGGCAGUCAAAUAUAAUCCUCACAAAAAUCCUGAAGGUGGAAAAUAUUUUUCGCAUUCAAGAAAGCUUAUGAACUCCUGCAGCGUGUAGGUAUUCAAUAAUCCGAGGGAACGGCCUUUCACCUUUGAGGAGAUAGAUGAAGUUCGAGAAAUGUUGGCAAACUUCAUUACCAGUGAUCGUCUUUGAUAUUUUCUUGUACUGAAUCUUAAAUUAUGAAUGCUAGCUAGUUUUUCAUAUGAUUGUAAUGUAAUCGACUUUUAUAUUUACAAUUAUAUACUAUUUGAUUUAA